GCCCUGAUGGUCUAGUGGUAUGAUUGUCGCUUCGGGAGAAAUUCCAAAUUUCAGCAAACUGGAGUUGUGACAGGUCCCCGGUUCGAACCCGGGUUAGGGCC
rnacentral:tRNA from 1 species